GACGAACGCUGGCGGCGUGCUUAACACAUGCAAGUCGAACGGAAAGGCCCUUCGGGGUACUCGAGUGGCGAACGGGUGAGUAACACGUGGGUGAUCUGCCCUGCACUUUGGGAUAAGCCUGGGAAACUGGGUCUAAUACCGGAUAGGACUACGCGAUGCAUGUCGUGUGGUGGAAAGCUUUUGCGGUGUGGGAUGGGCCCGCGGCCUAUCAGCUUGUUGGUGAGGUUACGGCUCACCAAGGCGACGACGGGUAGCCGGCCUGAGAGGGUGACCGGCCACACUGGGACUGAGAUACGGCCCAGACUCCUACGGGAGGCAGCAGUGGGGAAUAUUGCACAAUGGGCGCAAGCCUGAUGCAGCGACGCCGCGUGAGGGAUGACGGCCUUCGGGUUGUAAACCUCUUUCAGCAGGGACGAAGCGCAAGUGACGGUACCUGUAGAAGAAGGACCGGCCAACUACGUGCCAGCAGCCGCCGUAAGAC
rnacentral:rRNA from 1 species